GGGAAUCUGCCCUUUGGUUCGGAAUAACAGUUGGAAACGACUGCUAAUACCGGAUGAUGACGAAAGUCCAAAGAUUUAUCGCCAGAGGAUGAGCCCGCGUAGGAUUAGCUAGUUGGUGUGGUAAGAGCGCACCAAGGCGACGAUCCUUAGCUGGUCUGAGAGGAUGAUCAGCCACACUGGGACUGAGACACGGCCCAGACUCCUACGGGAGGCAGCAGUGGGGAAUAUUGGACAAUGGGCGAAAGCCUGAUCCAGCAAUGCCGCGUGAGUGAUGAAGGCCUUAGGGUUGUAAAGCUCUUUUACCCGGGAUGAUAAUGACAGUACCGGGAAAAUAAGCUCCGGCUAACUCCGUGCCAGCAGCCGCGGUAAUACGGAGGGAGCUAGCGUUGUUCGGAAUUACUGGGCGUAAAGCGCACGUAGGCGGCUUUGUAAGUUAGAGGUGAAAGCCUGGAGCUCAACUCCAGAAUUGCCUUUAAGACUGCAUCGCUCGAAUCCAGGAGAGGUGAGUGGAAUUCCGAGU
rnacentral:rRNA from 1 species